AGCGGCGGACGGGUGAGUAACACGUGGGUAACCUGCCCAAGAGACUGGGAUAACACCUGGAAACAGAUGCUAAUACCGGAUAACAACACUAGACGCAUGUCUAGAGUUUGAAAGAUGGUUCUGCUAUCACUCUUGGAUGGACCUGCGGUGCAUUAGCUAGUUGGUAAGGUAACGGCUUACCAAGGCAAUGAUGCAUAGCCGAGUUGAGAGACUGAUCGGCCACAUUGGGACUGAGACACGGCCCAAACUCCUACGGGAGGCAGCAGUAGGGAAUCUUCCACAAUGGACGAAAGUCUGAUGGAGCAACGCCGCGUGAGUGAAGAAGGGUUUCGGCUCGUAAAGCUCUGUUGGUAGUGAAGAAAGAUAGAGGUAGUAACUGGCCUUUAUUUGACGGCAAUUACUUAGAAAGUCACGGCUAACUACGUGCCAGCAGCCGCGGUAAUACGUAGGUGGCAAGCGUUGUCCGGAUUUAUUGGGCGUAAAGCGAGUGCAGGCGGUUCAAUAAGUCUGAUGUGAAAGCCUUCGGCUCAACCGGAGAGUUGCAUCAGAAACUGUUGAACUUGAGUGCAGAAGAGGAGAGUGGAACUCCAUGUGUAGCGGUGGAAUGCGUAGAUAUAUGGAAGAACACCAGUGGCGAAGGCGGCUCUCUGGUCUGCAACUGACGCUGAGGCUCGAAAGCAUGGGUAGCGAACAGGAUUAGAUACCCUGGUAGUCCAUGCCGUAAACGAUGAGUGCUAAGUGU
rnacentral:rRNA from 1 species